UAGGGAAUCUUCGGCAAUGGGGGCAACCCUGACCGAGCAACGCCGCGUGAGUGAAGAAGGUUUUCGGAUCGUAAAGCUCUGUUGCAAGAGAAGAACGUGUGUGAGAGUGGAAAGUUCACACAGUGACGGUAACUUACCAGAAAGGGACGGCUAACUACGUGCCAGCAGCCGCGGUAAUACGUAGGUCCCGAGCGUUGUCCGGAUUUAUUGGGCGUAAAGCGAGCGCAGGCGGUUUAAUAAGUCUGAAGUUAAAGGCAGUGGCUUAACCAUUGUUCGCUUUGGAAACUGUUAAACUUGAGUGCAGAAGGGGAGAGUGGAAUUCCAUGUGUAGCGGUGAAAUGCGUAGAUAUAUGGAGGAACACCGGUGGCGAAAGCUGCUCUCUGGUCUGUAACUGACGCUGAGGCUCGAAAGCGUGGGGAGCAAACAGG
rnacentral:rRNA from 1 species